rnacentral:misc_RNA from 1 species
GAUGAAGAACGUAGCGAAAUGCGAAAAGUAGUGUGAAUUGCAGAAUUCAGUGAAUCAUCGAAUCUUUGAACGCACAUUGCACCCCUUGGUAUUCCAUGGGGCAUGCCUGUUCGAGCGUCAUUUGUACCCUCAAGCUCUGCUUGGUGUUGGGCGACGUCCCCUUUGGGGACGCGCCUCGAAACGCUCGGCGGCGUGGCACCGGCUUUAAGCGUAGCAGAAUCUUUCGCUUUGGAAGUCGGGGCCCCGUCUGCCGGAAGACCUACUCGCAAGGUUGACCUCGGAUCAGGCAGGGAUACCCGCUGAACUUAAGCAUAUCAAUAAGCGGAGA